UUAAAUCUAAUCAUUAUACAUAGUAUUACCAACACAAUAUAUCAUUAGUUAGAUUUCAGUUGAAAUCAGAGAUCUGUUUCCUAAAACAUAUCUUCUCUACAAUGACUACAAUUAUUUUACAAGGAUCGGCAAGUUACAAUCUUUGGCUUAAUGAAGACUAGGAAUCUCCUCCAACUAGAAAAAGAAAAAAAAAACGUUUACUACAUACAGAUUAC
rnacentral:lncRNA from 1 species